rnacentral:rRNA from 1 species
GACGAACGCUGGCGGCGUGCUUAACACAUGCAAGUCGAACGGAAAGGCCCUUCGGGGUACUCGAGUGGCGAACGGGUGAGUAACACGUGGGUGAUCUGCCCUGCACUUUGGGAUAAGCCUGGGAAACUGGGUCUAAUACCGAAUAUGACCGCGCUCUUCAUGGGGUGUGGUGGAAAGCUUUUGCGGUGUGGGAUGGGCCCGCGGCCUAUCAGCUUGUUGGUGGGGUAAUGGCCUACCAAGGCGACGACGGGUAGCCGGCCUGAGAGGGUGACCGGCCACACUGGGACUGAGAUACGGCCCAGACUCCUACGGGAGGCAGCAGUGGGGAAUAUUGCACAAUGGGCGCAAGCCUGAUGCAGCGACGCCGCGUGAGGGAUGACGGCCUUCGGGUCGUAAACCUCUUUCAAUAGGGACGAAGCGCAAGUGACGGUACCUAUAGAAGAAGGACCGGCCAACUACGUGCCAGCAGCCGCCGUAA